rnacentral:rRNA from 1 species
UCCAGACUCCUACGGGAGGCAGCAGUGAGGAAUAUUGGUCAAUGGGCGGGAGCCUGAACCAGCCAAGUCGCGUGAGGGAUGACGGCCCUACGGGUUGUAAACCUCUUUUGUCGGGGAGCAAAUUCCGUUACGUGUAACGGAGUCGAGAGUACCCGAAGAAAAAGCAUCGGCUAACUCCGUGCCAGCAGCCGCGGUAAUACGGAAGGUCCGGGCGUUAUCCGGAUUUAUUGGGUUUAAAGGGAGCGUAGGCCGGCUUUUAAGUCAGCUGUGAAAGUCCGCGGCUCAACCGUGGAAUUGCAGUUGAAACUGGAGGCCUUGAGUGCACACAGGGAUGCCGGAAUUCAUGGUGUAGCGGUGAAAUGCUUAGAUAUCAUGAAGAACUCCGAUCGCGAAGGCAAGUGUCCGGGGUGCAACUGACGCUGAGGCUCGAAAGUGCGGGUAUCAAACAGGAUUAGAUACCCCAGUA